AGUGAACGCUGGCGGUAGGCCUAACACAUGCAAGUCGAACGGCAGCACAGUAAGAGCUUGCUCUUACGGGUGGCGAGUGGCGGACGGGUGAGGAAUACAUCGGAAUCUACUUUUUCGUGGGGGAUAACGUAGGGAAACUUACGCUAAUACCGCAUACGACCUACGGGUGAAAGCAGGGGAUCUUCGGACCUUGCGCGAUUGAAUGAGCCGAUGUCGGAUUAGGUAGUUGGCGGGGUAAUGGCACACCAAGGCGACGAUCCGUAGCUGGUCGGAGAGGAUGGGCAGCGACACGGGAAAAGAGACACGGGCCAGACUCCGACGGGAGGCGGCAGUCGGGAAUCUUGAGAAAUGGCGGGAAGCCGUACGGAGCAGCGCCGCAUGAGUGAUAGAGGUCUUCGGAGCGGAAGACUCUGUUAUGCGACAAGAACAUAGGUGUAAGUAACUGUGCACAGCUGGACGGUAGCUAAUCAGAAAGGCACGGCUAACGACGGG
rnacentral:rRNA from 1 species